UUGAUCAGCUCCACCUGUGCCCACACCUGCUGCCCAUGGCAGGGGCCUCUUUUAAGCUCCGGUGCAAUUUUCUAGGCCUUGCUCUAAGUCUACCUGCUCAGAAUUUUUCUGCUAUUUGUUAUUUAGGACAGCUAGACUUCUGACUUUUUACUCUGCUUUUGUCUGAAGAUUGUGGGGCUGUGGUUGGAGAUUUUUUGGCUGCUGUGUUGGCUGGGGCACCUAGCUGUACCUGUUGGUGAUUUGAACCUCUGCCCAUGCAGCCCCGUGAUCGGAGACUUUCAAUAGCCAGUGAUGAAGUUUCUUGCUGUGCUUUUGUGUAUCAUACAAUGCCAAAGCACCCAAGUUUAUCCCCAGCAGCAUAUGAAGAAAUGCCUAGAACAGAAAACACCCAAAAAGCCAAAGCAUGGGGGGUGCACAGUGGGAAAAGGAGUGCAGUGGGAAGAGCCACUUCAGAAGAGGAUGACUGAUCUUUGAGAGAGGCUGAGAAGUCUGCAAAGAGCAGGAAGGCAGUAUUUGAGAUAGAAGAUCCAAGAUGUUUUGCUAUGACUCUGUUGGAUAAUAGCUUAAGAAAAAUGCAAGAAUAUCAACUACAGGUAUAAUUCUAAAACAUGAUGGUCUCUGUGAGGAGAAACACCAUAGAGUUAUUAUGUUCUAACCCAGUUUAUAGUUUUAUAUUUCAAAGACUCUGUAAAAUUAAUAGCUUGUGUUACUUUUUGAAAACACAGUUAGAGGAAAAGGUAUAAUGAAUAAAUUACUGGUUAAUUCUGACUCCUGGAAUUUGAAAAAGAAUUGUAUUUAUGCUGUAUUUUGCCACAGGUUUAUGCUGGUUUUUUUUUGGGGGGGAAGGUGAAAACUGAAUGUGAACUUGUACUGUAUGUACUUGGCUGAUAACAGAAAAAAAGGACAGAGAUGAAAUCAAGAAAUGGUCACUCCCAGUUUUUCUAACAGUUUAUAAAGAUUUCCUUUGAUUAAAGAUACUCCCUGACCACCUUUAUGUAACCUAUUCAGAAAUGUAAACUGCUCUUAAUGUUAGAGAGCAGUUUCAGAAUUUUAUAUCUCUGGUAGCUUCUCAUUUAAUUCUGUCUCGAUGUUUCAGUUGAUUUUUCCUUUCCUAGUGAUGUAAACCCUGUUAUUUACACUUUCUAGCUCUUUCAAGCUCACGUUUGCUAUUAUCUCGCUUCUUCAUACAGAAACAUAUCUAUUAUCAAAACAUCAGUCUUAGAUUUACUUAACUCUACAAACCAUACUACUUUGAUAUCAUUUGUGAAGUCAUAAUCCAGUCCUGUGCUCACUGCAAUUGCUAUUCUGUAUAUGUAUUCUAACUUGAAGCAGUAUUUUUGAGCACUGGAGAUUCAAAUAAUAUUUCUGACAUUCAGAUUUAAUAUCUGGACAAUAUCUCACCUAUGCCUUAUACAAGAGUAUUGAUCUCCCUUGCCUUUUCCAGAAAUACUUUUUCAAAUCGAUUCAAUAUCCUUUUCCAAAGCAGAUGCUCACUGAUGAUUCAUAGACAUGCAGUGACAGAGUAAUAUCAGUGAUUUGCUGCAGAUGAGCAUUGUUGUUUUUUUUUUUUUUUUACAGAAAUUUUAUCAGUCUCUAAGUGCAUAGUAUUGCAUUCUGUAUUAAUGACAUUUUAUUCCAUUUUCUAUAUUCCAUAUAUAUUUGAGUUCCCCUUGUUUUUCUGAUCCUCUGUAUUGAUAAUGCCUAAAAAGUCCAACCACCUUUUUUGGUAUUAUUAUUAGUGUAAAUAUUAAAAUUAGGUCUAUGCUGAUUCCUGAAUAAUCUAUUUACUGAGUCUUGCAGGCUCAUAGUUGACUUUUCAGUAUAAUUUUUUGCUGUUUUCCAUUUAACUAUUUUGUUAAGUAGAGUGCUUAACUUACUUAAAGUAUAUGCUUAACUUUAUGCACUGAGCUUUAUGACUGAUGUCAAAUUGAACUUAAAUGUACACUUGGUUGAUUUUUCACUAGAACUGUGCUAGAACUUAACAUCUACUCUUAGUACGUAUUUCCAACGUUUCCAAUAGUAUGGAUGAUUCUGAAUUUUCUUCUAAUGCUAAUAUUCGCUGGAAUAAGAGAGGAAGCUAAGGGGAAUUAUGGCACAGGUAUGGAAAUACAGACAUUAGCAAUCACACACAUCUGAGUUUCAUGCUCAAACAGCUGAAACUCCAAAUUGUCUGCUAUUUCAGUUACUCCACCUGCAUAUUUCAGUCAUAUUUACAGAAAAUUCAUUUCUGAACUCUGCCAGCCAGAUUAUUAAGUGAUCAUGUUUCCACAACACUAAUACAAGUUUAUUUUCUAGAUGUAGUUCUAUAUUGAUUAGACUGAAAGAGCAGUUAGUUUUUUCAUUAAAUAUAAUGGAAGGAAGUUAUGUAUGGAAAUACUAUAUGCUAAGUCAAAUCUUAAACCUUUUCUUUGUUUUAAAAUCCAUUGAGCAUUCAGGUUUUACUUGUCCUUUCCAUAAAUAUUUGACUGUUGUGCAUUGCUAUGUUACACGUAAUUAAAAAUAGCUAAUACAAGUCACUAUAAUUAUAGUACACAGAGAAGACAGCAGGCCAACAAGUAUUAAGAUUUUUUUAAGAUGUGGUAACAAAUGUUGAUCUAAUUCUAGCCAGAAAUCUGUGUGUACACUAGGCAACGUGUGCAUAUGGAGUCACAGUGGACUGCUGUUUGAUUUGCUUGUAUAAGGGUUAACUGAA